CUGUAAUGUUUUGCUUAUUUCUGCCCAUUUUGUGAAUGAGUUAAAAUUUUUUUAAUGUCAAAAUAACGUGAGUUAGAUUAAAGCGAAUAAUUGUCUUCUACCAUUUUCACUUAUAAACAACUUGGGUUUUGGUGGAGGGUCUCUUGUUUUAAAAUAUUGUGGUAUAUAAUAAAUACACAAUUCGUGAUACUUUCAUAACAAAUAAAUAACUAAACUGAUCUGUUUUGUGUAAUUAUUAUACAUGUUAGUUUUGACGAGUUUGAAAUGAUAAUGUUUAAUCAAUUAAGGACGUAUGCUGUUCAUGAACAAAUACUUGCUGGCGGAAAGAAUAAACGUAUGCUUUCCAAGAUGAUUGAUAAUAAAAAAAAAAGUUAAAGUAUCUCCGUGUUAGUAAACAUUGAAUGUACGCUGGUAGUUACCAUCUGCUAGUUAUGAGAAACACAAAGAAAUAGCUAUUGCCCUGAAUUCUAUAUCUCCACGACUGAGAUGCCACGUCUUACUACUUGCUGGUGAUUUAUCUCCCCACUUUGAAGACUCUGUAACUAUGAGCAGUCGACUUGAUCCAACUAAUUCAACUUGGAUGAAGGUUUAUUUUAAAUAUUCUUUUUAAUCACAAUUUGUUAUAUGUUUCUUUAUUUUAUAACCGUCGUUGAACAGCCGACCCAA